AUUGAACGCUGGCGGCAGGCCUAACACAUGCAAGUCGAACGGUAACAGGAAGCAGCUUGCUGCUUCGCUGACGAGUGGCGGACGUGUGAGUAAUGUCUGUGACACUGCCUGAUGGAGGGGGAUAACUACUGGAAACGGUAGCUAAUACCGCAUAACGUCGCAAGACCAGAGAGUGGGACCUUAGGGCCUCUUGCCAUCGGAUGUGCCCAGAUGGGAUUAGCUAGUAGGUGGGGUAACGGCUCACCUAGGCGACGAUCCCUAGCUGGUCUGAGAGGAUGACCAGCCACACUGGAACUGAGACACGGUCCAGACUCCUACGGGAGGCAGCAGUGGGGAAUAUUGCACAAUGGGCGCAAGCCUGAUGCAGCCAUGCCGCGUGUAUGAAGAAGGCCUUCGGGUUGUAAAGUACUUUCAGCGGGGAGGAAGAGAGUAAAGUGAAUACCUUUGCUCAUUGACGUUACCCACAGAAGAAGCACCGGCUAACUCCGUG
rnacentral:rRNA from 1 species